AGGAAAUGAUGUCAGUGUCGCCGGGGCAGAGAUGCUAGAGAGAGCGGAGAGAGCGGGAAAGGCGAGGAAGGACCAGACGGUGAAUACACUUGCAAACCCUACAGUGGGAAGCGGUUGUAACGUUCAAAGCAGAGGAGUGGCGUGGCUGGAAAGGCGGCACAGAAAGAUCUUUGGGGAUUCGGCCCAGGAGGAGUCCUUUGCCACGACCGGAAGCAGCAAAGAGGCUCCAGAGUAGUCCUGUGCCUGGCAGUCUGAGCCCCUCACUUUUCUGCUUUUGGCUUGCCUAAGGGACGCAAAAUUCUGACCCAGUUCCCCCAUCACCGAGCCUCUGCCGAAUCCCCGGCACCGUGGAAAUCAAGAUAAAUGGGGGAUGGGGAGGUGGAUUGAGGAAACCACGUGUUUACAGGCACCAAUGUAGGAGAUCUUGAGCCCCGGAAAGAGGAGAAUAAAGGUUAUCUUGAGUUGCGACAGCGGUUCAGAAAACUCCACCAGAUGUCUGCUGUGGCUACUCCAGCCAAUGGAGACUUUAAUGGUUACGAAUGGAGUCGCUGGGAAGUCAUGGGCAAUUAGUUCUCCAGAGAAGCAGAACCAGUAUGAGAUAACAGACGUGAAUUAUGGAGCCUGAGAUGUGCCACAAUCUGCUGUCUGCCAGCUGGGAACCCAGGAAAGCUGGUGAUGUCGUUCCAGUUUAAACCCAAUGGCCUGACAAUCAGGGGAGCUGAUGGUGUGAAUCCCAGUCCAAGGGCAGGAGAAGGUGAGAUGGGAUGUCCCAGCUCAAUCAGGGAAGCAAGAAACAAGGGGGGAAAUUCCUCCUUCCUCUGACUUUUGUUCUAUUCAGGCCCUCAGUGGAUAGGAUGAUGCCCACCUGCAUUGGGGAGGGGGAAUCUACUUUACUGAGUCCACUGAUUCAACUGCUAAUCACAUCCAGAAACACCCCCAGAGACACACAAAGAAAUAAUGAAAUAAUGUUUAAUCGGGCCAGUCAAGUUGACACAUAAAAUUAACCAUCGCAGUGUGAUGGUUACUAUAUCAUACAUAACAAUUGUUAUACAAACAAUAAUCAGUUAUUUUAAAAUCAGUGACUAGAAGAACUUUAGUGAUGAGCUGCAAAAUCAAUGACCUUUUCAGUCUGCAGGUAACAAAGCAUCCUCCUGAAAGUUGUUAUUCAAUAGUUACUAUCUGUCGUUGAAGUCUGGAUCUUUUCCAUGAUUGGCUCAUUUGCCUAUACAGCAUUCAGCAAAAUCCCAAGGGCUUUCUGUACUUGCCCUUUGCCAUCCUCUGAAUUCUGGCACUGGCCCUCAAGCUUGUCCUCUCAAGCUCACGGUUUAGUGGUGGCCUAACUGUGCCAAGGUCAAGGGCUCCACGGCCUCUGCACCCCUCCACACCCCAGUCUCCCUGACAAAUCCACGCCUGCAUGGGGAUCCAAGCAGUGCAGCUCACCGAGGCCUCAGGGCUGUGCCCCACAGAGGGAAGCUGGGAUGUGUCCCCAGCCCAGCACAGACUCCCAAGUGUGUCCCUUUGGCCACUUCUUCCACCCACACAUCAGAAGUAGUGGCAGAGCCACAGAAAGAACCAAUUUGCCCCAGGCUGUGUCCAAAGGAAACUCCAUCCACUGGGCAACCUCCGAAGGAUAAGCCAGCCCAGCCUUUCCUCCGAAGGACCAGCAGGGGGCUUCUUCACCAGCUUCAAGUUCAAGUUCGUCCUGAAACAGCCGUCUUUCAGGUUUGUCAGAAGGAACCUGAAGCAGAGGCCGAUGGCAGGCACUCACACCUCGUGGAGCGAGAACAGGGGCAGGGAAAAAGAAAACACGUGGGGAGACCAGGCCGCGCUCACUACACUUGAAGAUCAUGAGCGUCACGGAGCCCAGGGAGAAGGUGCAGAAGAUCGACCAGGUGCUGGAAGGAAACAGCGGCCAGUGAGGGCUGAACAGGAAACCUGCGCUACUCCGGAUGCAGGGCAGCCCGGCCGAGAGGACCUGGCGCAGGGGUCCAGCCGGUCACCGCCAUCGCUCAGCGCAGUCCCGUUUCAGUGGACAGCCACACGUCCGCGGGCUUGGAAAGCACUCCCUCCAAAACUCACUGCAGCUUCACCUUCAAAAGGUGGCCGGGAGGCUCCAGGGAGACGCGAGCUCCAGGAGCCCCGUUUGCGUCGGGGCCGCCUCCCUCUGCUGCUCGUCCUUCGCCUGCUCUUCUCCCGUGCUUGUGGGUGAGGGAGCCAGUACGGCGAGAUGGCAGUGUGGCACUGUAUCAGAGCCCUGAAGGGGUUCUUCCCGGGAAAAUCUCAUAGGUGAGCUUUACCGAGGGCCUGACGAGCAUUAGAGCCACCUGUAUGACAAAAAGAGUUUGGGGUUUAUCAUAAGAGAGCUGGGAGGUCCCUGAAACAUGCAGGCAGCAGGGGUGCAGGAUGCCCUUUGGAUGACAGGACACUAACUCUGGCUGCAGGGUGGAGAAGCCACGGAAUAAGCGGCCAAGUUUCCUUGUGUUUCGAAAGUGGGCUUUUACCCCAGGGAUUGGAAGUGAGGGAGACAGCAAGAAAAAAGUCAGCUCAAAUGUCACUGGCUGCUCGGUGACCUCUCCUUCGUAAUUUUUUGCAUUCUACGUGAUUAAUUCCAGAAUACAAAAAUGGGAACACGCUUUGCCAAGUUGUUUUCUGUGCUAGAGUUUCAGUGCAAUGCCGAGAAAAAUUCCAGAACUUUCUUCUAUGGAACCUGACUCAUGGAUGUUAAAAUUUCUAUAGAAGAGCAAAGUGCCAAAGACAAUCCUUCCUGAAGAACAAAAUUGAGAGGCUUUAAUGAUUAAGACAGUGUGAUGGGGGCUUCCCUGGUGGCGCAGUGGUUAAGAAUCUGCCUACCAGAACACUCUAUGACAAAAUCACAGCAAGAUCCUUUCUGACCCCCCUCCUAGAGAA